GGACCCGCACAAGUAGUGGAGCAUGUGGUUUAAUUCGAAGAUACGCGCAGAACCUUACCAACACUUGACAUGUUCGUCGCGACUUUAAGAGAUUAAAGUUUUCGGUUCGGCCGGACGAAACACAGGUGCUGCAUGGCUGUCGUCAGCUCGUGUCGUGAGAUGUUGGGUUAAGUCCCGCAACGAGCGCAACCCUCACUUUUAGUUGCCAUCAUUAAGUUGGGCACUCUGAAAGAACUGCCAGUGAUAAGCUGGAGGAAGGUGGGGAUGACGUCAAGUCCUCAUGGCCCUUACGUGUUGGGCUACACACGUGCUACAAAUGGUAUCUACAACAGGAAGCAAGACGGCGACGUUUAG
rnacentral:rRNA from 1 species